rnacentral:rRNA from 3 species
UGGGGAAUUUUGGACAAUGGGCGAAAGCCUGAUCCAGCAAUGCCGCGUGCAGGAUGAAGGCCUUCGGGUUGUAAACUGCUUUUGUACGGAACGAAAAAGCUUCUCCUAAUACGAGAGGCCCAUGACGGUACCGUAAGAAUAAGCACCGGCUAACUACGUGCCAGCAGCCGCGGUAAUACGUAGGGUGCGAGCGUUAAUCGGAAUUACUGGGCGUAAAGCGUGCGCAGGCGGUUAUGUAAGACAGAUGUGAAAUCCCCGGGCUCAACCUGGGAACUGCAUUUGUGACUGCAUGGCUAGAGUACGGUAGAGGGGGAUGGAAUUCCGCGUGUAGCAGUGAAAUGCGUAGAUAUGCGGAGGAACACCGAUGGCGAAGGCAAUCCCCUGGACCUGUACUGACGCUCAUGCACGAAAGCGUGGGGAGCAAACAGGAUUAGAUACCCUGGUAGUCCACGCCCUAAACGAUGUCAACUGGUUGUUGGGAAUUAGUUUUCUCAGUAACGAAGCUAACGCGUGAAGUUGACCGCCUGGGGAGUACGGCCGCAAGGUUG